rnacentral:rRNA from 1 species
CGUACACAAAAAUGCACAUGCUGUGAGCUCGAUGAGUAGGGCGGGACACGUGGUAUCCUGUCUGAAUAUGGGGGGACCAUCCUCCAAGGCUAAAUACUCCUGACUGACCGAUAGUGAACCAGUACCGUGAGGGAAAGGCGAAAAGAACCCCGGCGAGGGGAGUGAAAAAGAACCUGAAACCGUGUACGUACAAGCAGUGGGAGCACGCUUAGGCGUGUGACUGCGUACCUUUUGUAUAAUGGGUCAGCGACUUAUAUUCUGUAGCAAGGUUAACCGAAUAGGGGAGCCGAAGGGAAACCGAGUCUUAACUGGGCGUUAAGUUGCAGGGUAUAGACCCGAAACCCGGUGAUCUAGCCAUGGGCAGGUUGAAGGUUGGGUAACACUAACUGGAGGACCGAACCGACUAAUGUUGAAAAAUUAGCGGAUGACUUGUGGCUGGGGGUGAAAGGCCAAUCAAACCGGGAGAUAGCUGGUUCUCCCCGAAAGCUAUUUAGGUAGCGCCUCGUGAAUUCAUCUCCGGGGGUAGAGCACUGUUUCGGCAAGGGGGUCAUCCCGACUUACCAACCCGAUGCAAACUGCGAAUACCGGAGAAUGUUAUCACGGGAGACACACGGCGGGUGCUAACGUCCGUCGUGAAGAGGGAAACAACCCAGACCGCCAGCUAAGGUCCCAAAGUCAUGGUUAAGUGGGAAACGAUGUGGGAAGGCCCAGACAGCCAGGAUGUUGGCUUAGAAGCAGCCAUCAUUUAAAGAAAGCGUAAUAGCUCACUGGUCGAGUCGGCCUGCGCGGAAGAUGUAACGGGGCUAAACCAUGCAC